AUUCCUACGGGAGGCAGCAGUGGGGAAUCUUGGACAAUGGGCGCAAGCCUGAUCCAGCCAUGCCGCGUGAGUGAUGAAGGCCUUAGGGUCGUAAAGCUCUUUCGCUGGGGAUGAUAAUGACAGUACCCAGUACAGAAACCCCGGCUAACUCCGUGCCAGCAGCCGCGGUAAUACGGAGGGGGUUAGCGUUGUUCGGAAUUACUGGGCGUAAAGCGCGCGUAGGCGGAUUGGAAAGUUGGGGGUGAAAUCCCGGGGCUCAACCUCGGAACUGCCUCCAAAACUAUCAGUCUAGAGUUCGAGAGAGGUGAGUGGAAUUCCGAGUGUAGAGGUGAAAUUCGUAGAUAUUCGGAGGAACACCAGUGGCGAAGGCGGCUCACUGGCUCGAUACUGACGCUGAGGUGCGAAAGUGUGGGGAGCAAACAGGAUUAGAUACCCUGGUAGUCCACACCGUAAACGAUGAAUGCCAGUCGUCAGCAAGCAUGCUUGUUGGUGACACACCUAACGGAUUAAGCAUUCCGCCUGGGGAGUACGGUCGCAAGAUUAAAACUCAAAGGAAUUGACGGAAU
rnacentral:rRNA from 1 species